GACGAACGCUGGCGGCGUGCCUAAUACAUGCAAGUCGAACGCUGAAGAGAGGAGCUUGCUCUUCUUGGAUGAGUUGCGAACGGGUGAGUAACGCGUAGGUAACCUGCCUUGUAGCGGGGGAUAACUAUUGGAAACGAUAGCUAAUACCGCAUAACAAUGGAUGACACAUGUCAUUUAUUUGAAAGGGGCAAUUGCUCCACUACAAGAUGGACCUGCGUUGUAUUAGCUAGUAGGUGAGGUAAUGGCUCACCUAGGCGACGAUACAUAGCCGACCUGAGAGGGUGAUCGGCCACACUGGGACUGAGACACGGCCCAGACUCCUACGGGAGGCAGCAGUAGGGAAUCUUCGGCAAUGGGGGCAACCCUGACCGAGCAACGCCGCGUGAGUGAAGAAGGGUUUCGGAUCGUAAAGCUCGGUUGUAAGUCAAGAACGGGUGUGAGAGUGGAAAGUUCACACUGUGACGGUAGCUUACCAGAAAGGGACGGCUAACUACGUG
rnacentral:rRNA from 1 species